rnacentral:lncRNA from 1 species
GUUUGGAUUAGGAUUUGAUUAGGGUUUAGGAUUAGGAUUUGGUUAGGAUUUGGUUUAGGAUUUAGGAUUUUUUAGGGUUAGGAUAUGGUUUAGGAUUUGGUUUAGGAUUUGAUUUAGGGUUUAGGAUUUGGAUUAAGGUUUGGAUUAGGAUUUAGGAUUUGGUUUAGGAUUUGGUUAGGGAUUGAUUUAAAGUUUAAGAUUUGAUUAAGGUUUGAUUAGGGUUUGAUUUAGUAUUUAGGAUUUAUCUAGGAUUUGAGUAGGAUUAGGAAUUAAUUACAAUUUAAGGUUUUAUUAGAUUUUUGUUAGGGUUUGAUUAAGUUUUCUUUAAUAUUCUUUUAUAUUUCUUUAGAAUUUUCUUGUAUUUCUUUUAUAACUUCAAUAAAAUUUAAUUGAGCUUACUUAAUGUUUGAUUAUGAUUGUUAACAUUUAAUUGUAAAUUUUCUAUAAUCCUAUUGGAUUGUUAGGACCUUUUGUUGCAAUUUUCUUUUAUCUUCCAUAGCUAGGUGCUCGGUGCAUUCUCAAGCAAGACUUCACGUAAUACGACAAUGGAUCUUUCAAUCUCAGGUUUUUAUGACUCUAUAUUCAUGAUAGUAGAUCAUUUUACUAA